AAUGAACGCUGGCGGCGUGCUUAACACAUGCAAGUCGCACGAGAACGUUUCAGCUUGCUGAAACUAGUAAAGUGGCGCACGGGUGAGUAACGCGUGGGUAAUCUACCUCCGAAUUGGGGAUAACAUUGCGAAAGCGAUGCUAAUACCGAAUGACAUCUCAAUAACUCCGGUCUUUGAGAUCAAAGGUGGCCUCUCCAUGGAAGCUACUGUUUGGAGAUGAGCCCGCGUACCAUUAGCUUGUUGGUAGGGUAAUGGCCUACCAAGGCUACGAUGGUUAGCUGGUCUGAGAGGAUGAUCAGCCACACUGGAACUGACACACGGUCCAGACUCCUACGGGAGGCAGCAGUGAGGAAUUUUGCGCAAUGGGGGAAACCCUGACGCAGCAACGCCGCGUGAGUGAUGAAGGCUCUCGGGUCGUAAAGCUCUGUCAAGUGAGAAGAACCUGCCCUUUGCUAAUAUCACUGGGCACUGACGGUAUCACUGAAGGAAGCACCGGCUAACUCCGUGCC
rnacentral:rRNA from 1 species